UCUGAAGUUGAUUUGGUGGCCUCACUUAC
rnacentral:piRNA from 1 species